AACGAACGCUGGCGGCAGGCCUAACACAUGCAAGUCGAGCGAGAUCUUCGGGUCUAGCGGCGGACGGGUGAGUAACGCGUGGGAAUAUGCCUCUUGGUACGGAAUAGCCUCGGGAAACUGGGAGUAAUACCGUAUGUGCCCUUUGGGGGAAAGAUUUAUCGCCAAGGGAUUAGCCCGCGUUGGAUUAGGUAGUUGGUGGGGUAAUGGCCUACCAAGCCGACGAUCCAUAGCUGGUUUGAGAGGAUGAUCAGCCACACUGGGACUGAGACACGGCCCAGACUCCUACGGGAGGCAGCAGUGGGGAAUCUUAGACAAUGGGGGCAACCCUGAUCUAGCCAUGCCGCGUGAGUGAUGAAGGCCUUAGGGUUGUAAAGCUCUUUCAGCUGGGAAGAUAAUGACGGUACCAGCAGAAGAAGCCCCGGCUAACUCCGUG
rnacentral:rRNA from 1 species